rnacentral:rRNA from 1 species
GCGUGUGACUGCGUACCUUUUGUAUAAUGGGUCAGCGACUUAUAUUCUGUAGCAAGGUUAACCGAAUAGGGGAGCCGAAGGGAAACCGAGUCUUAACUGGGCGUUAAGUUGCAGGGUAUAGACCCGAAACCCGGUGAUCUAGCCAUGGGCAGGUUGAAGGUUGGGUAACACUAACUGGAGGACCGAACCGACUAAUGUUGAAAAAUUAGCGGAUGACUUGUGGCUGGGGGUGAAAGGCCAAUCAAACCGGGAGAUAGCUGGUUCUCCCCGAAAGCUAUUUAGGUAGCGCCUCGUGAAUUCAUCUCCGGGGGUAGAGCACUGUUUCGGCAAGGGGGUCAUCCCGACUUACCAACCCGAUGCAAACUGCGAAUACCGGAGAAUGUUAUCACGGGAGACACACGGCGGGUGCUAACGUCCGUCGUGAAGAGGGAAACAACCCAGACCGCCAGCUAAGGUCCCAAAGUCAUGGUUAAGUGGGAAACGAUGUGGGAAGGCCCAGACAGCCAGGAUGUUGGCUUAGAAGCAGCCAUCAUUUAAAGAAAGCGUAAUAGCUCACUGGUCGAGUCGGCCUGCGCGGAAGAUGUAACGGGGCUAAACCAUGCACCGAAGCUGCGGCAGCGACGCUUAUGCGUUGUUGGGUAGGGGAGCGUUCUGUAAGCCUGUGAAGGUGUGCUGUGAGGCAUGCUGGAGGUAUCAGAAGUGCGAAUGCUGACAUAAGUAACGAUAAAGCGGGUGAAAAGCCCGCUCGCCGGAAGACCAAGGGUUCCUGUCCAACGUUAAUCGGGGCAGGGUGAGUCGACCCCUAAGGCGAGGCCGAAAGGCGUAGUCGAUGGGAAACAGGUUAAUAUUCCUGUACUUGGUGUUACUGCGAAGG